rnacentral:tRNA from 1 species
GGUUCCAUAGUGUAGUGGUUAUCACGUCUGCUUUACACGCAGAAAGGCCUGGGUUCGAGCCCCAGUGGAACCA